ACCAUUUCGUUUUCCCUCUUCCUCUCUCUUUCACGGUUUCUCUAACCUGUUUCUCUUUCUCUCUCUUUUCCAAGUUCUUUCAUAUUCUCUCAACCCCUUUCCUUUUUCCUUUCGAACCCUAGCGGGUUUAUCACUAUCAUUGGUGCUUCCUGACACUGCACGACUAUCUACACCACAAAUCGCAUCCUUUCCCUUUUGAAUCGAUUUGCAUUCGUUUUCAUUUUGGUUUUCUUUUGCGUUUUAGUCAUCGCUUUCGUUUUCGUUAUCUGAAUCCGGUUUAGGGUCUGGAAAAAGUGUUUAUUUCAUUUAUGAUUCUAGCGGCGUCCGUAACAGAAUGGAUCUAUAAAUUUGUUCGUGAUUUUACUUGGUUUAAGAAAUUUGUUCGUGAUUUAAACUUUGUAUUUUGAAGGAAGAUCUAUAAAUUUGGUAGUCACUAACUUGCAGAUCUACGAUUGUCUGACCCCACUCCACCGUUUCUGCUCUCCUUUCAUCACUUUUGUUUUCAAGCCCUAUAGAGUACAUGAUGUGUUGCGCCCACUCUAUGAAUCAUCCAAGCUAUUAGCUUAGAGAACAACUAUGGCAGGAAGAAGAAUACACUUGUGCUGCUAGAUAUAUGACUAUUUUUAUAAUUUUUCUGAUACAUUUUAUUGUAUACUAUGUUUGGUUUUUCUCCAAAAAAAUUAUUUGACUAUAUCACUCAUACUUUUCAUUUUUUUUGUGUAACAGGCUUAAAAUUCCUUCCAAUUGUCAUAGGUAAUUUCAAACGAUUUUGAUGUUUGUGGCUUCUACUGGAGCUUGUGUGUUUUGAAUCUAUGUGUUUUGAUGUUCAGAGUCCAUGGUUCAACAACAAGCACUAUUUUAUUUGUGUCCUGCAGGUUUAUGUAGCUACAAAUAGGAUUUCUCCUUUUAUCACCCUUUUCAGGCUUUUUGAAGAAUCUACAAAUAAAGUUAGAGUGAAAAUACUUAGUUUUCAACUCUAUUAUUAGAACUGAUGCCCUCUAUUAUUAGAACUGAUGCCCUUAGUUUUCAGGCUAUUUGUAGAUUCAAAUUAUUGAUUAUGUGAAGAUUUUGAAUUGUUUCAAUUUCGGUGUUGUGGUUCUAUUUGAGCUUCACGGUUAUAUGUUUGGGGUUCGUGAAGGUUUUCUGUUGCAGAGUUUGGAUUCUAGCAGAGCUUUUCACGGUUCAGAUUUAGCAUUCGAGUCAAAUUUUCGGUACAGAUCCAAAACUUUCAAGCUUGUUGAAGAUGUUAAGAUGGGCCCAAAACCAGCUGGGCGAGAAAGCUUCUUUUCCUCGCAUAAAUGAUAUAACCACAGCUUAGAAGACCCUGUUUAAAAACUUGUGACACUUUAAUUUGAAUUUGAAGAUUUUAGGUUCUACAUGAAGUGAUUGUUGCCAUUGUUGUUAAAAAUUGUGUAUUAAUUUGAAAGAUGUUUUACACUGUUGUACAAAAAGAUUGUCAAUAAAGUCAUUUAUUCCAUUUUUUCCCUUCAAGUUAACUUUAAUUUGAUAGAUGAAGAUAUAAUUUUUUUCUCACGAUGAUAGCAGAAGAUAACCCAAAGACACAAAACAUUUAUUUUCAAUUGCUAGGGACAGUUAAGCCUCGAAAUUCUCUUCACUUCUAUGUUGUCACUGAAUAUCAUCUCUAUUACAUUUCACAACAAAUUUAUCAGAUAAAAAAAACUGAGAAAAGUGAACUAGAUCAAUUUUUUACAUAUUAAAGGUUAAUCACCUUGUGUGCAAAAGAAUAAUGGUCAAAGAAAAUGGAAUGAGUAUUAUGAAUCUAGAUGGGUGGGAAACCAUUAUAAUGUUAAAAAUCUAUAGGUCUUAUAGAUUUAGUAAUAGGUAUUGU